AGGGAAGUGUUUCCCUAAAACAAAUAAAAAUAUACCAAGCAACAGGACCGGUAUUAACAUAACGCGUUGUGUGUGCACCACAUCCACUUAAUGUCAAUAAAUUAUGAUUGGACACCUGACAUGCGUUUAACUACACAGCAAAGGUAAAUUAAAACGCCCAUCAAUUCCACCCAGCUCCCCUUCCAGGCUGCAGGCCAUCAUGACUCUCAGCAAAUCGUGUUAGUGCUGUUUCCAGUGUGAUUACCCUUUCAGCACUCGUAUUGUCUUGUCUGGCAGCUCUCCUUUUCCUGAAAUCAGCGAGCAAUGAAAAACUUGUAAGAUCCAACUGUUUUCUACCCUCUUGUGUUUUUUCUCGUUUGAAACCACAAGAUCUUUUCCUUGGCCAACAUCAACAAAUCCUACAAAUCCGCAAAUCUGUUGAUGGUGAGCACAUUCGCUCAUAGACAAAGAAAACAAGAACAACGGAUCAGGUUUAGUAUAGUUGGGCUAACCUGUUGAACUACGUUUCUGCAAAGCUAAAGAAAAGCAUGUUUCUGCGGAAGCCAUAUCCUAUUCUCCAUUUGUUUAUCUAGAGGGCACGACUUGUACAAGAUCUACAGUAUGAGCCACUAAUAAGCGUGUGUGGUUAAUGAUGUUUGCCCAACGUCUAAGAGCAGUUAUGCCAUCGCCCGAUAUGUGACAUGGGCCUCUAACAGGCAAGCAUGCAGGGCCGGUCUUGAAACUUUGGGGGCCCGGGACGAAAACCAAAACUCGGGGCCCUUAGUAUAAACAAUAUAGUAGCAAUAAUAAAUAUAUGAAUUAUUACUAAUAAAGAUAUAAGUUUAUAAAAAAAAUAUGAAAUAAUUAUAUAUACAUGUUACCUUUUUAGAAGUUCUAAUAUUCCUAGAUGCAAAGUCACUUUUGAUGGGAUCGGUGUCUAUCUAAUCUAAUAUUUUUUCUUCUCGAAGCAUAACUUUGCCAAACUAUUUAUACUCUUUUGAGUUAUUAUUAUUUUCAGAUUGUUCUUUAAUGAAUGUAUCUUUGUCAAGCUUCUUUCAACCGAUGCGACAAUUUAUAUGCAAUGUAAAUAAGAUAAUAAGCGGUAGAGAUAUGAGGAUAAAAAUAGACUUCCAUGACAUGCUCAAAAAUCACAUAGUACACAUUACACCAUAUGACAAAGUGAAUCUUAUAAUCUUUAACUCAGAACAAAAAAAGCAAAACCGGAUGUGCAUGUGAUUCUGUUGAAAUAAUUGUACCACCAGUACCAGGUUCACUUACUAUUUUAUCACCCAUAGUGAUGACAGCAUUUUCCUCUUGUUAAUAUCCAAUUUAUCAUCAAUUUGUUCUACUUCCUUCACAAUAAUCGUCAAUUCAUCAUUUGGAAUCAACGGAGCACCAGUAUUACUGAUGAAAUUUUCAUGAAGAGCACCUCUUUGAUUUUAUCAACUCAUCCACAUAUUGUCUUUUUCACCAUGCUAGAAAUAAAUAAAUACUGGGAUCAAAGGUUCAUCAGUGCCAGCUAUGCACCAUGUACGCAAAAGAUAAAUUACUUAAUGCAGUACUAAACAUACAUGGAAUAGGGAUUAGGCGAAACGGUAAUAUACCUUGAAUGGAUUGGAUUGGCUUUGGUGGUAGGGCGUUUAGCCAUGAGUCGAUGACACGAUGUUGACUCGUGUCUGGCUCUAGAACUCGGUGAAUCGGCGAUGUAGUCCAGCGCCUGAAGGCAGUUGAGAAGGCGGCAUCGCGUAGAGUACUCGCGAUCGCACAUCAGUAGCGGUAGCCGGCGAUCGAAGCGAAUGCGUCAAAGCGGCAUCUUGCUAUCGUGGUGGCCGGGAAUAGAGAUCAGCAUCGGCGAGACGGCAUACUGGCGAUCGAAUUAGGAAGGAAAGGGAAGAGAAGGAGCAUAAUGGCAUGUUCAUUAUCGCUAAAAGGACGGCGUAUGAUCUGAGUAUUGUUACGUGAUUGGAAUAGCAAUAAUCGAUACGUUUGCCUGCAUCCACGGCUGCUACCUCCCGAAGCCACGGCCUAUAGUUUUCUUAUCAGUAAGUAUAUACGACUAGCCCAUAGACCACUACCUGCUGCAUUACACACUUGAG
rnacentral:lncRNA from 1 species